rnacentral:rRNA from 1 species
UACGUAGGGUGCGAGCGUUGUCCGGAAUUAUUGGGCGUAAAGAGCUUGUAGGCGGUUUGUCGCGUCUGCCGUGAAAAUCCGGGGCUCAACCCCGGACUUGCGGUGGGUACGGGCAGACUAGAGUGUGGUAGGGGAGACUGGAAUUCCUGGUGUAGCGGUGAAAUGCGCAGAUAUCAGGAGGAACACCGAUGGCGAAGGCAGGUCUCUGGGCAAUUCCUGACGCUGAGGCGCGAAAGCGUGGGGAGCAAACGGG